rnacentral:rRNA from 1 species
AGUGAACGCUGGCGGUAGGCCUAACACAUGCGAGUCGAACGGCAGCACAGUAAGAGCUUGCUCUUACGGGUGGCGAGUGGCGGACGGGUGAGGAAUACAUCGGAAUCUACUUUUUCGUGGGGGAUAACGUAGGGAAACUUACGCUAAUACCGCAUACGACCUAUGGGUGAAAGCAGGGGAUCUUCGGACCUUGCGCGAUUGAAUGAGCCGAUGUCGGAUUAGCUAGUUGGCGGGGUAAAGGCCCACCAAGGCGACGAUCCGUAGCUGGUCUGAGAGGAUGAUCAGCCACACUGGAACUGAGACACGGUCCAGACUCCUACGGGAGGCAGCAGUGGGGAAUAUUGGACAAUGGGCGCGAGCCUGAUCCAGCCAUACCGCGUGGGUGAAGAAGGCCUUCGGGUUGUAAAGCCCUUUUGUUGGGAAAGAAAAGCAGCAGGUUAAUACCCCGCUGUUCUGACGGUACCCAAAGAAUAAGCACCGGCUAACUUCGUG